AAAAGUAAGUAAGGGCACAUGGCGGAUGCCUUGGCUCUCGGAGGCGAUGAAGGACGUGAUAAGCUGCGAUAAGCUGCGGGUAGGUGCAAAUGACCUUUGAUCCGCGGAUUUCCGAAUGGGACAACCCGGUACUUUGAAGAAGUAUCAUCCUGCAUUGCAGGAGGCUAACGCAGGGAACUGAAACAUCUUAGUACCUGCAGGAAAAGAAAAUAAACAAUGAUUCCCCCAGUAGUGGCGAGCGAACGGGGAAUAGCCCAAACCAUCCAUGUUACGGCAUGGGUGGGGUUGUAGGACCACGCCGUGGCAAGAAAGUUGGUGAGCAGAAUGUUCUGGAAAGUACAGCCAUAGAGCAUGAGAGCUGCGUAUGCGAAGCCAAGCGAAGCCUAGUGGUAUCCUGAGUAGCGCGGAGCACGAGGAAUUCUGCGUGAAUCUGCCGGGACCAUCCGGUAAGGCUAAAUACUCCCGAGAGACCGAUAGUGAACCAGUACUGUGAAGGAAAGGUGAAAAGCACUUCGAACAGAAGAGUGAAAUAGUUCCUGAAACCAUGUGCCUACAAGCGGUCGGAGCACCUUCUGGUGUGACGGCGUGCCUUUUGCAUAAUGAACCUACGAGUUACUUUUUCCGGCGAGGUUAAGGAUUUCAGAUCUGCAGCCGAAGCGAAAGCGAGUCUGAACAGGGCGUAUAGUCGGAAGGAGUAGACGCGAAACCAAGUGAUCUACCCUUGGGCAGGUUGAAGGAUGGGUAACACCAUCUGGAGGACCGAACCAAUAAGCGUUGAAAAGCUUCUGGAUGACCUGAGGGUGGGGGUGAAAGGCUAAUCAAACUUGGAGAUAGCUCGUACUCCCCGAAAUGCAUUUAGGUGCAGCCUUGACUUAUACUGGCAUGAGGUAGAGCGACUGAUAAGAUGCGAGGGCUUCACCGCCUAUCAAGUCUUGACAAACUCCGAAUGCGUGUCAGUUCUAUGUCAGGAGUGAGGGCAUGGGUGCUAAGGUCCAUGUCCUAAAGGAGAACAAUCCGGACCAACAGCUAAGGUCCCGAAAUGAAUACUAAGUUGAACUAACGAAGUCAGAUUGCUAAGACAGCUAGGAUGUUGGCUUGGAAGCAGCCAUUCAUUUAAAGAGUGCGUAACAGCUCACUAGUCGAGGAGUUUGGCGUGGAUAAUAAUCGGGCAUAAGUAUUCUACCGAAGCUUUGGGAUGAGAAAUCAUCGGUAGGGGAGCAUUCCACUCGGCGUCGAAGGUGAAGCGCGAGCUUUGCUGGAGCGUGUGGAAAAGCAAAUGUAGGUAUAAGUAACGAUAAAGGGGGUGGGAAACCCCCUCGCCGAAAGACUAAGGUUUCCUGAUCAACGCUAAUCGGAUCAGGGUAAGUCGGGUCCUAAGGCUCAGCCGAACGGCGAGGCCGAUGGCAGAACCGGUUAAUAUUCCGGUACUACCUGUGGGAGUGACGUGGAGACGGAGUCGUGACAGCGCCGCGGACUGACGGAAUAGUCCGUUGAAGGGUGUAGAUGCUGAUUGUUCCAGGCAAAUCCGGAGCAAGAGUCGAACCUGAUAGUAUGGAGCGUUCUUAGAACAAUCCAAUAGUGCGUGUAAUCAUACUUCCAAGAAAAUCCGCUAAACUUAAUCCUGCAGGUACCCGUACCGCAAACGGACACACGUAGUCGGGUUGAAUAUACUAAGGCGCUUGAGUGAUUCACGGUUAAGGAACUAGGCAAACUGACCCUGUAACUUCGGGAUAAAGGGUCCUCGCUUUACGGCGAGGCGCAGAGAAUAGGUCCAGGCAACUGUUUAACAAAAACACAGGGCUGUGCAAAAUUGAAAGAUGAAGUAUACAGCCUGACACCUGCCCGGUGCUGGAAGGUUAAGAGGAGAUGUCAUCGCAAGAGAAGCAUUGAAUUGAAGCCCCAGUAAACGGCGGCCGUAACUAUAACGGUCCUAAGGUAGCGAAAUUCCUUGUCGGGUAAGUUCCGACCUGCACGAAUGGUGUAAUGAUCUGGACGCUGUCUCAACCGUGAGCUCAGUGAAAUUGUAGUAUCGGUGAAGAUGCCGAUUACCCGCGAUGGGACGAAAAGACCCCGUGAACCUUUACUAUAGCUUAACAUUGAAUUUGGGUAAUUGAUGUGUAGGAUAGGCCGGAG
rnacentral:rRNA from 1 species